GACGAACGCUGGCGGCGUGCUUAACACAUGCAAGUCGAACGGUAAGGCCCUUCGGGGUACACGAGUGGCGAACGGGUGAGUAACACGUGGGUGAUCUGCCCUGCACUUCGGGAUAAGCCUGGGCAACUGGGUCCAAUACCGGAUAGGACCACUGCCUGCAUGGGUGGUGGUGGAAAGCUUUUGCGGUGUGGGAUGGGCCCGGGGCCUAUGAGCUUGUGGGUGGGGUGAUGGCCUACCAAGGCGACGACGGGUAGCAGGACUGAGAGGGUGACCGGCCACACUGGGACUGAGAUACGGCCCAGACUCCUACGGGAGGCAGCAGUGGGGAAUAUUGCACAAUGGGCGCAAGCCUGAUGCAGCGACGCCGCGUGAGGGAUGACGGCCUUCGGGUUGUAAACCUCUUUCAGCACCGACGAAGCGCAAGUGACGGUAGGUGCAGAAGAAGGACCGGCCAACUACGUGCCAGCAGCCGCGGUAA
rnacentral:rRNA from 1 species